rnacentral:rRNA from 1 species
AAACUUUCAACAACGGAUCUCUUGGCUCUCGCGUCGAUGAAGAACGCAGCGAAAUGCGAUACGUAGUGUGAAUUGCAGAUUCCGUGAAUCAUCGAAUCUUUGAACGCAAAUUGUACUUUCCAGUAAUCUGGGAAGUAUGCUUGGUUGAGGGUCAUUA